AGCGAACGCUGGCGGCAGGCUUAACACAUGCAAGUCGAGCGGGCAUCCUUGUGGUGUCAGCGGCAGACGGGUGGGUAACGCGUGGGAACGUGCCCUUCGGUUCGGAAUAACUCAGGGAAACUUGAGCUAAUACCGGAUACGUGCGAGAGCAGAAAGGUUUAUCUGCCGAAGGAUCGGCCCGCGUCUGAUUAGCUAGUUGGUGAGGUUAUGGCUCACCAAGGCGACGAUCAGUAGCUGGUCUGAGAGGAUGAUCAGCCACACUGGGACUGAGACACGGCCCAGACUCCUACGGGAGGCAGCAGUGGGGAAUAUUGGACAAUGGGGGCAACCCUGAUCCAGCCAUGCCGCGUGAGUGAUGACGGCCUUAGGGUUGUAAAGCUCUUUUCUCCGGGACGAUAAUGACGGUACCGGAGGAAUAAGCCCCGGCUAACUUCGUG
rnacentral:rRNA from 1 species